rnacentral:rRNA from 1 species
CCUACGGGUGGCAGCAGUGGGGAAUAUUGCACAAUGGGGGAAACCCUGAUGCAGCGACGCCGCGUGAAGGACGAAGUAUCUCGGUAUGUAAACCUCCAUUAGUAGGGAAGAAAAUGACGGUACCUGUCCAAGAAGCCCAGGCUAACUCCGUGCCAGCAGCCGCGGCAAUACGGAGGGGGCAAGCGUUAUCCGGAUUUACUGGGCGUAAAGGGAGCGUAGACGGUGCUGCAAGUCCGGGGUGAAAGCCCAUGGCUUAACCAUGGUACUGCUCUUGAAACUGUGCGGCUAGAGUGCGGGUGGGGCAAUCGGAAUGCCUGGUGUAGCGGUGGAAUGCGUAGAUAUUAGGAGGAACACCAAUGGCGAAGGCGGAUUGCUAGACUGUAACUGACGCUGAGGCACGAAAGCGUGGGGAGCAAACAGGAUUAGAUACCCGGGUAGUC